rnacentral:tRNA from 1 species
GGCAUGGUGGCUCAGUGGUUAGAGUGCCCGCUUCAUGAACGGGAGGUCGUGGGUUUGAACCUGGGCCGAGUCA